GGCUGCGCACGCGCCUUCCCAACACCCACUGGAGUUGCGCGCGCUCCUCCCAACAAAUGCGUCCGCCCCUCCCCGAUGUUUGGACUCUCGGUAGCUCACAAUUUGGCAGCGCUGCGGCACAUGCGCUGUUCUCCUUCGGUUCCCCUAAACUAUGAUGGCUCACUAUUUAGCAACGGGCUGCCGUUGUCGCAGUGCUAUUUGAACAGCCAGUAUGGAAAGAGGGGCCGUUCGGAGCGGAUCUCUUACUCCCAGCCAGCUGGAGUCUGCCCGGUGGGCUACGGUGACCAGACGGCCAAGUGGUGUUCACUGGAGCAGCAGGAACAAGACCUCUAGAGAGAAGGAUUUUAAAAAGACACUCUUAUCUCCCUAUCGCUCUUCCCUAAAGACGUCCCUGUCUCCUGCCAGUAACGCGGGCGGGCCUGACUUCUUCAGCCACCCCCAGCAGGUCCGUGUGUCUCCCUCCGAAUGAUUACCAUCCUCCUCUUCAGUGAAUGGAGAGAACAGCUAGAUGAAAGCUGAAGGCCAGCUAAGACAGAGUCUACAAUAUUAGAACAGGAGAGACGAAACUACCACCAAUGCCCGAGGACUCUGCAGAGGUAGAGAAGGAUAAUUGGACAAUGGACUUGGAAAUAGAGAACAGGCGGUAGGAAGACCUGAAGGAACAAAAAGAGAAAGGGGGCUUAAACAGAAAGCCGUUAAUCAGGAUUAAAAAAGGACAAGCUACAGAAGAGGGUAAGAGAAGAAACAAUGAAGAAUGAGAUGAGAACGGAGUAGGGGACAAUGAAGAGAGAGGAUCUAGGAAAGGAGUAAUGAUUAUUUAAAAUUUCAUCUAGGUUGAGGAGGAGGAGAGAGUGGAGAGAACUAAGGGAAAAGAAAGAUGAAAUCUGACUAGUCACCUUGCAGGGAAAGAACAGGAUCAAAAAAGGGAUAAAGGACAAGAGGAUGAAAAGAAGGCAUGGUUUCCAAAACCUACUCAGUUUGGUUUUAGACUCCUAAAGUGAUGGUGUCAAGGUACAUAGCUAUGCAAGGAGCACAACUUAGUUAGGUUCCACUUUCUUUUUCACUAAUGGAAAAAACUUCAUGUUUGUAAAUGUACACCCUUUAACUGAGGAGAAAACAAUGAAAGUUCAUAUUAUUAAUUUACACUUAUUUGUUCUUGUACAGAUUAUAAUGAGUAUUAUAAAUUGCAGCAUCCAUCUUAAAGCAUUUUAAGAGGACUCUAUGUGAUUUUUUCACCCAUGUUCAGCUUAUCAGUUGCUUUUGCUUGUUUCGGCUUCCUCAAGAACAAUGUUUUACAAUAGGUCUGGAAUGGCAUUGGGUUGUUGUAAUCAAAAGGUGGCAAUAUAACAUUCAGAUG